rnacentral:rRNA from 1 species
UACAGAGGGUGCGAGCGUUAUUCGGAAUUACUGGGCGUAAAGCGUGCGUAGACGGUUAUAUAAGUCGGGCGUGAAAGCCCCGGGCUCAACCUGGGAAUUGCAUUCGAUACUGCAUAGCUAGGGUGCGGAAGAGGGAAGCGGAAUUUCCGGUGUAGCGGUGAAAUGCGUAGAUAUCGGAAGGAACAUCAGUGGCGAAAGCGGCUUCCUGGUCCAGCACCGACGUUCAGGCACGAAAGCGUGGGGAGCAAACAGG